rnacentral:rRNA from 1 species
UUGGACCGGGGCCCGCACAAGGCGGUGGAGCAUGUAGGUUUAUUCGAAGCAACGCGAAGAACCUUACCAGGUCUUGACACUCCCCUGACAACCCGAGAGAGUCGGGCCGUUCCCCGUUCGGGGGGACAGGGUGACAGGUGGUGCAUGGUUGUCGUCAGCUCGUGUCGUGAGAUGUUGGGUUAAGUCCCGCAACGAGCGCAACCCUCGACCUUAGUUGCCAGCAUUCAGUUGGGCACUCUAAGGUGACUGCCGGCUAAAAGUCGGAGGAAGUGGGGAUGACGUCAAAUCAUCAUGCCCCUUAUGACCUGGGCUACACACGUGCUACAAUGGGCGGUACAAAGGGUCGCGAACCCGCGAGGGGGAGCCAAUCCCAAAAAGCCGCUCUCAGUUCGGAUUGCAGGCUGCAACUCGCCUGCAUGAAGCCGGAAUCGCUAGUAAUCGCGGAUCAGCAUGCCGCGGUGAAUACGUUCCCGGGCCUU